CCUACGGGUGGCAGCAGUGGGGAAUAUUGCACAAUGGGGGAAACCCUGAUGCAGCGACGCCGCGUGAGUGAAGAAGUAUUUCGGUACGUAAAGCUCUAUCAGCAGGGAAGAAAAUGACGGUACCUGACUAAGAAGCCCCGGCUAACUACGUGCCAGCAGCCGCGGUAAUACGUAGGGGGCAAGCGUUAUCCGGAUUUACUGGGUGUAAAGGGAGCGUAGACGGCAGCGCAAGUCUGGAGGGAAAUCCCAUGGCUUAACCAUGGAACUGCUGUGGAAACUGUGCAGCUAGAGUGCAGGAGAGGUAAGCGGAAUUCCUAGUGUAGCGGUGAAAUGCGUAGAUAUUAGGAGGAACACCAGUGGCGAAGGCGGCUUACUGGACUGUAACUGACGUUGAGGCUCGAAAGCGUGGGGAGCAAACAGGAUUAGAUACCCGAGUAGUC
rnacentral:rRNA from 1 species